rnacentral:rRNA from 1 species
UACAGAGGUCUCAAGCGUUGUUCGGAUUCAUUGGGCGUAAAGGGUGCGUAGGCGGCGCGGUAAGUCGGGUGUGAAAUCUCGGGGCUUAACUCCGAAACUGCAUUCGAUACUGCCGUGCUUGAGGACUGGAGAGGAGACUGGAAUUUACGGUGUAGCGGUGAAAUGCGUAGAUAUCGUAAGGAAGACCAGUGGCGAAGGCGGGUCUCUGGACAGUUCCUGACGCUGAGGCACGAAGGCGUGGGGAGCGAACGGG